rnacentral:lncRNA from 8 species
UUAGUAUUACUUUCUUAGCUACAGCAUACAUAUCUCCCUGGCAUAUUACAUCAUUUAUGCAGCAGCAUAUAAGACAUUUUUGGACUCACCUUGUUGUGAUGUGCUCACUUGAACAGGAUGGUGGCGUGGUGGUCCUUCGUGGGCAAAUUUUGUCAUCAAAGAAAGAGCACUGAGCUAGGCUGAAACACCUGCAUUUUGGAGCUGCCUUACUCAAGGAAUCAAAAAAGAGACCGUGUUUGUAUGCGGCUUUAUUAACUCAGUGAUAUAUAUAUUUUUUACAUUGUUUUCAAACUGAUAUGUGACUCAUAUUAAUGCCAAAAUAACAUGCAAAUCAGGCAAGCUACCCCCCAAAAAAUUACAAAAUAUAUAUAUUAUUAUAUUUGUUAUUUCUAUUUUGAUAAAAAUGUGGGCUCGAGGAGCCCCACCUACCCUGAAUGACGGGUCGCCACUGCAUGACUCCCCCAGUGAUUUUACCCAUGUGCCUCUACUGAACACCUGGUGACGUCACUAAGUUGUGUGGCAGCGAAUCACACACACAGUCUGACUAAGAGACUGCUGACACACACACUGCAGAACCCUCCCACCCAGCUGCAAAAAGAGAGAGCAGAGCAGCGAACACACACACACAUGCAGCCAGACCAGCCGAGCAGGCAAAUGAGGGAUGGACGCACUUCCAUUCGCGCUCCGGAAUAACGGAUUAGCAAGUGACAUCGCAGAACAUACGGAGAACCUGAUAAGCCUCAGCGAUUCUCACCACGCGAUUAGCGCGUCCGUCAGUAGGGUCACCUUCGUAAUUAACACGGGCGUCUUGUGGACGUGCGUGUGAGUGAGCUAGAGACCGUUAUCCAUUUGGCGCGAGAGAGGAAGAAAGAGAGUCUGGAUAUAACCACUAUCCAACCCUCCAGACAGCAGCAGAAGCCGCAACCUGAGUCGGUUCUCCAGAGUAGCCGUCUAGCCGCACCCCCAGUCCCGCAGCCACAUGCAGGAUGCCCGGGGGGGAGUGCUGGUCCUGGGGUGUCCUCCUGGUCCUACUCAGCCCGAGUUCAUG